UACGUAGGGCGCAAGCGUUAUCCGGAAUUAUUGGGCGUAAAGAGCUCGUAGGCGGUUUGUCGCGUCUGCCGUGAAAGUCCGGGGCUCAACUCCGGAUCUGCGGUGGGUACGGGGCAGACUAGAGUGAUGUAGGGGAGACUGGAAUUCCUGGUGUAGCGGUGAAAUGCGCAGAUAUCAGGAGGAACACCGAUGGCGAAGGCAGGUCUCUGGGCAUUAACUGACGCUGAGGAGCGAAAGCAUGGGGAGCGAA
rnacentral:rRNA from 1 species